rnacentral:rRNA from 1 species
AACGAACGCUGGCGGCAUGCCUAACACAUGCAAGUCGAACGAAGCCUUCGGGCUUAGUGGCGCACGGGUGCGUAACGCGUGGGAAUCUGCCCUUUGGUUCGGAAUAACAGUUGGAAACGACUGCUAAUACCGGAUGAUGACGAAAGUCCAAAGAUUUAUCGCCAGAGGAUGAGCCCGCGUAGGAUUAGCUAGUUGGUGUGGUAAAGGCGCACCAAGGCGACGAUCGUUAGCUGGGCUGAGAGGAUGAUCAGCCACACUGGGACUGAGACACGGCCCAGACUCCUACGGGAGGCAGCAGUGGGGAAUAUUGGACAAUGGGCGAAAGCUUGAUCCAGCACUGCCGCGUGAGUGAUGAAGGCCCUAGGGUUGUAAAGCUCUUUUACCCGGGAUGAUAAUGACAGUACCGGGAGAAUAAGCCCCGGCUAACUCCGUGCCAGCCGCCGCAGUAA